UGAGUGCUGCUUACAGUUUGGCUGAAGUUCUCAAAGUGCUCAAAUAGCACAUGGGCAGUCAUGCCUUAGUAACAGUCAGAAGAACCAACUUAAGACAGACACAUUUCCAUCAUCUCCCUUUGGUGUACUCUCAUGUGACAUGUGGCAGGAAGAACUGAGAUAUUCUGUCACUGCUCUCAGUGCUAGAAGAUCUCAGAGACAAAAAAAACUGGUGAACAGAGCCUUGUCGAGCCCCUCCGCCAACAGGCAAGCCACACUUCAUCAGGCAGUUUUUCUCAGGGAUUCUGAGAAAAUUCUCAGGGAUUCUGAGAAGAUUCAAACAGAACUUUCUUAACACCUCUAGCUGCAGAUAUUACUGCAGAAAUAUCCCGCUGGGAAAAGGCUGCAUAAGAUCUGGCCACCAUGUAAAUCUCACACUGAAGACUCACUUGGGAAGAAGAAAAGACAAAAAUUGUUGUGCUGGCUCUCUAAGUGAAGGAUGCCAUCUAUAUUUUCUUAUUCUUUCCAAGGUCAGACAAGCAUCCUUCCAAAGCCUCUGAUUCUGUUUCUUCAAGCACACAAGCUCACAGACAUUCUUCCAGUUCUCUGCUGAUGUAGUAUCCUCAGCUUUCAUUAUUAAAGACCCAUUAUGGGCUUUGGCUCCUACAGCUCACAUUAUAAUUUUCAAACUUACGAAAGCUGCAAGAAACUUCAACCCAAGCAAAGUGCAUAGGAAUGGAGCUCAAUUUAAGCUGUGCUAUGCAAAGAGGGGAGAAAUCUGGUGAUGGGCCUACAAAUGUCAUUGACAAGGAAAAGAAAAGGCUAAAGGCUCUGCUGGAGUGACUCCAUUGACUCCCAUGGCUUUCGUGGGCUUCAAUUUGCAAAACAGACGGAAGAAGAGAAAACCCUUCCUCCACCUCUCUCCCCUGCAAUUCUUGAAAGUGACAUCUGUGCAGUGCUGCAGGAAAGAUUACACAUCUUAGUCUUAUUUUUUUUUUUACCCUGCCACUCCCAAUUUAUUCAUGCCCACUAUCAUAAUAUUAAUUUUUCGCAAG